GACGAACGCUGGCGGCGUGCUUAACACAUGCAAGUCGAGCGAUGAAGCACCUUCGGGUGUGAAUUAGCGGCGAACGGGUGAGGAACACGUGAGAAAUCUGCCUUCAACUCUGGGAUAACUCCGGGAAACCGGGGCUAAUACCGGAUAUGAGCCUUGAUCGCAUGAUCGGGGCUGGAAAGGUUUUCGGUUGAAGAUGAUCUCGCGGCCUAUCAGCUUGUUGGUGAGGUAAUGGCUCACCAAGGCGACGACGGGUAGCCGGCCUGAGAGGGCGACCGGCCACACUGGGACUGAGACACGGCCCAGACUCCUACGGGAGGCAGCAGUGGGGAAUAUUGGGCAAUGGAGGAAACUCUGACCCAGCGACGCCGCGUGAGGGAUGAAGGCCUUCGGGUUGUAAACCUCUUUCAGUAGGGAAGAAGCGAAAGUGACGGUACCUACAGAAGAAGCACCGGCUAACUAUGUGCCAGCAGCCGGCGGUAA
rnacentral:rRNA from 1 species